AUUGAACGCUGGCGGCAUGCCUUACACAUGCAAGUCGAACGGUAACGGGCCUUCGGGUGCCGACGAGUGGCGAACGGGUGAGUAAUGUAUCGGAACGUACCUUUCAGUGGGGGAUAACGUAGCGAAAGUUACGCUAAUACCGCAUAUUCUGUGAGCAGGAAAGCAGGGGAUCGCAAGACCUUGCGCUGAUUGAGCGGCCGAUAUCAGAUUAGCUAGUUGGUGAGGUAAAAGCUCACCAAGGCGACGAUCUGUAGCGGGUCUGAGAGGAUGAUCCGCCCAACUGGAACUGCGACACGGUCCAGACUCCUACGGGAGGCAGCAGUGGGGAAUUUUGGACAAUGGGGGCAACCCUGAUCCAGCCACGCCGCGUGAGUGAAGAAGGCCUUCGGGUUGUAAAGCUCUUUCGGCCGGGAAGAAAUCGUAUCAGCUAAUACCUGGUGCGGAUGACGGUACCGGCAUAAGAAGCACCGGCUAACUACGUGCCAGCCGCCGCAGUAAGAC
rnacentral:rRNA from 1 species